AUGCUUUCAAGCCAAAGGAGGUGAAUCUGCAUAAGACAAAUUCUUCUGCAGACAGUGCAGGUAAACUGACAGAAUCAGAGAUCAAAGGGAGAAUUAAUCGCCUGUCUCAAAUUUUGGCAAAUAAGGUAUUAUUUUAGUACCAAGUACAAUCUUUAGAAACUUUAUUAAUUGAUGUUUCUGUUUAAUCAAAACAUCGGGCCAUCAGCUGCUCCAGACUGCAAGAAAGGCUUCCAGUAGAGUUUAUGCCCUUCGCAAAACUGAGUUAUGACUUGCAAAAAGGACCUUCAAGCUCUAAUUUUGCUCUAUGUGACUUAUUUGUGUAUGUCUCCUUGUUUUUUAAGGCCAACAACAUGGGGGCACUGGCCUUUAGCUAGCCCAAAAUGCAACUUCACUGAAUAUAGUUGACUUAAGUUUGAACCAUCAUACGUGCAUAGGCCAAAUUUUAACCACUCCAACAUUUUUAGUGUUAAGCUGAACCCAUGCGGAUGAAAUCUUUGCUUUUCCUAUCAUCAAGCCCGGCACUCUGAUAACCAAGAGUGGUUUGGUUACCACUAUAAUCAGUUUAUUCCGUGUUUCUUUCUUUGUUUUCCCUCUUUCAAAAUAUUUAAUUUUUUUUUUCUUGGUCUCAAAAUAUUCUUCAGGCUACAGUUUCAAAGUUACCAGACAAGGGAGAGAGGAUACAAAAGCAGAUUGCUGAACUGAAUUUAGAGCUUGAUAAGAUGAGGAUGACAAAAAGAAUUGAAACGGAAGUUAUUGAUUUGGAUGAUGUGACCGGAAAGCUUGAGAAUGUGCUGAACCUGUAGAUGUUUGUCAUUGAGGAAGUGGAAAUCUUGGGGAAAAAGAAAAUUGUAUGUUUUAAUAAGUGAAGUGAACAAUCAACAAUACCCAUUAGAAAAAUAGGAGCAGCUGUUUUUCAUCUUGUAGCUCCACAAGAAUAGCCUUUCAGGUUGCACUUCUGCAAUCUAUGGGUGAGUUAGAAGGUUUUAAAAAUUACUAUUGCUAGUUAGUUUACUUGGCAAGAGAGGCCAUCUUUAUUAUUAUUUUGAUAAAUGAUGAAACUAUUAUUGUAAAUUUAAAUGUUUUAAGUUUGAGAUUUUAUUUUAUUUUAAAUUUUCUUCUCUCCUCUCAUGUUGUUUUGAGACACUGCUUUAUUAGACCAAUAAGAAAAUAGUAAUCAAGAUAAGCAAAUUGCCACUGUUAGUAGGAAAUUUAAAAGUUUCUUGAUCCCACAAUUCAUUUUUCUGCUCAAUUUUGCGCCAUGAUGCUUGAUUGCAUUAUUGUACUCUUGAACCUAUGCUUCCACUGAUAUGAACAACAAUCCACCUCCGUUGAGAUCUGUCCUUGGCCCUCAUGGUGAAAUUGAGGAAAGCGUUGUUGGAGAUUUCCAUUAUAUAAGGCAAACUAAUGAAUUAAGACUUCAUGAUGGCCCAAUUAUUUUUCCUGUGGUCCAAAAAGGGAAUGGUUCAACCUUCCGUAAUCCACAGAUCACAGUGCAGUUUGUAGAGCCACCUUUUCUUCCACUUUUUCUUUAAACGAAGAAACAAGAAAUGGAAAGUGGAUUUUGGAUCAUUUUGGAAGUUAGGAGUUUAUAAGACGUGUGUUGUGCACCCCACCCCCAAAUGUGAAUGGGUCAUAAAUUAUGUUAACAAUAUGUCUGCAUUUCUAUGUAAGAGGUAUGGGCUUAAUAGGUACUAGGUUAAGUAGGUAAGCCACGUUCUCAAAGACAUCCCCAAAAUGAUAUAGGAAUUGAUAAGCAAUUCAUCAUAAAUCUUACUAUGUACAUCAAUGUUUGAUUUCUUGUUUCUACUAUUCCAUUUUGUUGUGGAGUUAUUGGUGCACUCAAUUAGGAUAUAAUCUCAUACUUCUUAAGGAAAGAAUCGAAUUGGGUGGAUGUAUACUAAUCACCUUGACCAAAUCAAAGUGCCUUGAAAUGUUAACCCAGUUAGUUUUUAAAUUUUGUUUCAAAUUCAAUGAAUUUAUCAAAGCAUUGGAUUUUCUAUUCAUUAGAUAAAUAUAUCCAAACCUAUAGUAAUCAUUUGUAAAGGUGAUGAAGUACUCAUACCCUUAUACAUAGAUAUUAAAAAUCUCACACACAUUAGUAUGAACUAACUCCGGACAUUCCUUAGCUCUAUAUUCUUUAGAAGUAAGGGAUCUCUUGAUCAUUUUAAUAAUAACAUGUUUAUUAAAAAAACGUUGAAUAAUUCAAUUUACAUAAAUUAAAAAUUGAAAUCAAAUUCUUUCUAAACUUAGGAACAUAAAGACAAUCUUUGAGAUAUAGAAGACAAUUAUUCUCUAAGAUAAGGAUAACGUCUCUCACUGCCUAUACAAUUAUUCUCACAUCAGACGCUGGAGUCAGGUACAUGUUCCCAUUAUUUAGGCUUCUCCUUAACUGAAAUCUCUGUAAAGAAGAAUAAAUAUGGUAAGUGGCCUCAAAAUCUAUCCACUAAGAGUUGUAGAAUUCACCACUAAACAUGAUUCAAUUAAAAAUGAAUGAUGCAUACAUUGCUUUUUCUUUAGGAAUUGAGGACACUCCUAGUGGCAUUUCUUUUCAUAAAGGAAGUACUUGCACUUUUCCUUGCUCUUCUUACGCCCUUUCUAAACUUUCCCUUUUGUUUGGUGUUUUCAAAAUUGUUCUUCUUACUAUAAGAACCCUUAAUUACCAUAUGAACACCCUUUUGGUUUUUUAGAAUCUCCUCAGCCAUCCAGAGUUCCCUCAUAAGCAUUGUCAAGUUCAUUAAUAACUUAUUCAUAGUAUAGCUAAGCUUAAAACUACUAGAAGGAAUCCAACAAGGUCUCUAAAACCAUUUCAACCUUGAUUUCCUUGUUGAUCUCAGCUCCAAGGAUCUCUAUCUUGUUAAAGAGUUUAAUCAUAUGUAUUAUAUUAUCUCUAACAAAAAAGUUCCUUCUGGAAUCCUGAGGUUCAUAAUAGUCUUAAGAGUAGUCAGUUUAGUUGACUUGCCUUUAUUACCAAAUAUCUCUUACAAACUGAAAAGAAUAACAUAAGUUGUGGCAAUAGGCACGUGUCGUUGUUGCAACUAUAGGGAAUCCUAGUUAGAUCACUCUAUUCCCUAUCUCAAGAUCAAGUUAAGAUCAUAAAAACUUUCAUAGGCUUUUUCUAAACCCUAUGCACAACAACAAAAAAAUUACAUUUUAAAAUAAGAGCAAGAUUUUGAAUGUGCAACCAAAAACAUUGUCUUGGAUUUGGACGUUCCCAAAUCUAUUCCUUUUGAUGUAUAUGAAGAUUGAAUUCUUCGAAAGUCUCGUACACCCAAUAUCUUUCACUCGAUGACUAUUCCUUAAUCUUGAUACUCAAUGGGUGAGGAGAAAGGGAAGGUGGAGGCUAUGAUUCUCUCUUUUUCUUCAUUCCUAAAUGGUUAUUUAUAUAAUUCCCUAACUAAGCUUAGGUGACUUGAGCCCACCAAGGACUUGGGUCACUGAAUCUAACCCAAAAUAGAUCCUAAUUGAUUAAUUGACCUAAUAGAAUCAACUAAAUAAUAAAUUAACCCAACCCAGAGACUUUGUUCAUUGACUAUUGUGUAACUUUACAUAAUUACCAAAACACCCUUAUGCACAAAAGUGAAUCAAGAUUCAAUCCAAUCCUCAUAAAUCAUGUUGUCAAGGAAUAUGAGUUCAAGUAAGGACCAUUGGGACCCAUAGGAUAGUAUUGAUUCCCUCAAAAUCCAAUUAUGAAGUGGACUUAGUAUCCCACUUUUAAAGAGUCAAUUGCACUCCAAUAUCCUAUGUAUAUUUCAACAAGACACCAACUCAGGUUUAUGACCUACUAUCCAUUGUAUGUAGUCUCCCUAUGAAUUGGUUGUCUAUAGUCUAACAAGGUGAAAGUUAUUAGUCUUUCAAGACUAUCUCUACUAUCCUUAAGUUAUAUAUCCUCCUAUUAUGUGAUCAAGUAAUAUACUCUAACUCAUUAAGAGCAUAUGUCAAAUUCGAAUGAAUGAAUUACUACAAGCCCAUUGAUUUUGUUAGGACAUUGAGUUUGGAUUGUAUGUUAGUAAUUUUGUUCUUUUUUUAUGUUUGGGCAUAGAAGUCUUUUUAGAUAGUGACUUACUCUCCAUUGAAGAUUAAGGGUUGUUGUUUGUCUAAUCACAAAGUCAAGGUAUGUCUAAAAAAGAUUGACUUGUGACAUGUUAGGCUCCUAUGAGGUAUAAAGAGAAUUAAUUUUGUUUUUAAACUUAAAAUGAUUUAAAAUUAAUAUUUUAAUAAAAAUGGCAAGAUUACUCAAACACUCUUUACCGUUCAAGCACCCGAGGCGCUCAAGCGGUGGGUUAGUCGGCUUAAGUGGUCAUGUUAUUUAUGCCAAGAAUUUUUCAUGCAAAUUAGAUUUUGAACUAUUCCAAAACUGAAAUUCUUUAAGCUUUUGGCUAUAUAUACCUCAUUAUAACCCCCUUGAGGGUAAAAAGAUUGGAAAGAGAUCAAAAACUUUUUUAAAGAGUCUCAUCGAGGAGAAAGCCUAAAGUGCCACACCAUUCCCAAUCUCUCGUUCAAGGAUUUGAUAUUUGAAUCUUGGGUUGAAGAUAUGCAUCCCUUUAGCAAGGCUAAAGUGCAUUUACUAGAACAAUCGAAGGUUGUUGCGUUGCGAACAUGGAUCAAGUUGUAAGUACUAGAGAGCAAGUCUUUAGGGUAAAGUUGAUAGGUAAAUUUGUGUAACUUGAUUUCAUAUAGUGGAUUUAGAUUAGUGGUCUUAGACCUCGUGGUUUUUUAUCCCCACAGUUAGUGUAAGGGUUUUCCACAUAAAAAUCUCUUAUGCUUCAUUGCUUAUUAUUUGAUAUCUUGUAUGAAUUGCCUACAAUAGAAAGAAUUGAUAUACUCUAAUACCUCGUAGGAUAGAAAAUUGGGUAUGACAUAUAAAUCUUUAUUUAAUUUUUUUUAAUACAACUAUUCAACCCCUCUCUAGGUGUUACCCAUUGGACUUAAAGGAUUUUUUUCUAUUGGUAUUAGAGCAGGACAAAAAUCGAUUUUUUCUUAUCUUAUUGAUUAAAAAUUAAAAUUUUCUUAAUCCUAUUCGAUUAAAAUCAAAUUUUUUUUUUAUUAUUCAUAUAGGAUAACAAAUUCAAUUUUUAUUGAUCCUAUAAGCCCAAUAUGGAACAUUCAAAGACAAAAACACCUUUGAAUAGUUUAGCCUACUUUGAUGGGAGUAACUAUUCCCAUUGGAAAGCUUUAAUGAUGUUUUUCCUUAGAAUGCAAGGCAAAAGGGUAUAGAAUUCAAUAGAAUAUGGGGUCCCCCAUUGAUCCUUGAUGCUCAAGAAAGAUCAACGGGAGAACUGAAACCUAAACACGAAUGAGACAAAGCCGACAAUGAAGGUAGUAAAACCAAUGCUAAGGCUUUAUUUAGUAUUUUUAACGUAGUUUAUCUAGAUGAGUUUCAUAGGAUAACAAAUUGUAAAUGUGCAAAGGAAGCAUGAGAGAUACUCUAAGUUACUCAUGAAGGUACAUUUGUUGUAAAGAUCUUUAAAUUGCAAAUGCUUGUCACCAAAUUUGAGAAUAUUAAGAUGCUUGAAAAUAAGAACUUUUCUUCUUUCUAUUAUGAAUUGAGUGGUAUUAUUAAUUGUUCUUUUAACCUUGGAUAACCUAUUAUUGAUUAUAAAGUUCUUAGAAAAAUAUUGAGAUAUUUGAAAAACCAAAAGUCUAAUAGGGAACGACAAUUGAGUUGUUUAAACCAAUUAUUGUCAAAGACUUAGCUAUGACUUGAAUCAUACCAAAGUGUAUAAAGUUGUAGUAUCUCUUAUGUCUUUAUCUACUGUCCAAGAGUCUUAUCACUUGAUCUUCUUGUUCUAAGCUUAUGGUCCGUUCAAGUGUCUUAAUGGUGUAGUCUCUAAAGAACUUAAAGGUUCAUUUCUUACAAAUUUUUUUAUUAGAUACCUUGGGUAACUUCCAAUCAUCUAAAUCAUUUUGUGUCUUAGGAUAAUUGAUCUCUUCACUAUUUACUACAACUUCUUGAGAAUUUUGGAUUUGCCUAGACAUGGUUUUGAAAAUUGAACUCAUUUUAAGGUCUUAAUUUAGAGCCUAAUAGCAGAUUGACAAACUUAGUGAGUAAUCACCCCAACCCUUUUAUAAACCUAAAAAUGCUUAACAUCGGCUAACAACGGGCUCAACCCGAUAGGGAUCACCUCAGAUAGAUUGCUAUUUUACUAGGAUAGAUUUAAAACUCAAAAUAAAACCCGACUACCCUUUCUAGACGAGUUUGGCAUAGUAAAACAAUUUGGCAUAUAUAUAUAUAUAUAUAUAUAUAUAUAAUCCAACCAAGCAGAAUUUGGGAAAAUUCUGGUAUUUUCCUCCUAGCCAUAUGCAAAACUUUUAUUGACAUUUAUGCCCCUAAAUUUUUUGCCAAUUUCAGAAAAGCAGAGUACAUUUUUCUCACUUAACGAUUAGGAAUUAUGGAUAUAUAUAGGUAUUUAUCCUUGCGUUUCAUCUUUCCCAUCCAUUCCAUGGCCCUAGCGAUGAGUAUUCACCUCACGCGCCUCCCCCGCCACUUCCCUUUCCCUUCACUCUUUCCUCGCUUUCCUCGAAUUCUUAGCAACCCUUGUCAUCUCACUUCUCGCCGAAAACCACGUCGAACCUUCACUUUCUUCACCUGCAACUUCACCGUCGCCGCCACUUCCGCCACUUAUGGUACGGUUUUUUAGUUUAUUAUGAUUGCAGUUCUUUUAUUGGACACCCGUUCGGCUUUGAGAAAAAUGCUCUGAGAAAAAUGGAACGAAAGAAAGAGAAUUUUAGGAUCUUAUAUUUUUCAUUUUUCAUUUUUUUUUUGUUUUUUGUUUUUUCAGUUACUUCUGUUUUCCCACUUUAUCUGUUAUCAACCAAACCGUGAGGGACACAAUUUUGAAAUGAGGGUUGAAAUUUGCCAACUUAUUGAUAAAUUCGAUACAUUUUUUUUGUUAUUAUCCCGAGCAGAAGAUGUUGAUCUUGGUAGAAUUGGAGCGGAAGUAAAAAAAUUAGACGUUCAUGUUGCUUUAAGAUUUUAUUUCUCACAAAGUUUUGAUGAUUUUGUGCUAUAAGUUGUUGAAAAAAAUGAUGGAAAGAGGGGAAAAGAGAGAGAAUUUUGAAUUUGUAGUCUUUUGUGUUCUGAUUUGCUUUUUCUAUUCCUUCUUUUUUCCCCAAACAAAGUGAAACAUGGAUGAUUGGAUGAUCAGCAAAAAAUUUCAAAUGCCAACUGAAAUUUGCUAAUAUACUAAUAAUUUGGGUCGUGCUUAAGGUUCAACUAAGGAGUGGGAGAGAGUAAUUUUUUGUUAGAACUGAGGCUGGAGUGGUAGACAAGAAGUUUAUACUGCUUGAAGUUUUUAUUUCACCCAAAAUUUUGAUAACAGCAUGUUUGUUUGCUAAGUAAACUAUGGAGAUUGGGAGGAUCACAUUUUAGGGCCUUCAAUCUUUGCUGCCAAGACCAUUGUCUGACCAUUCAAAUUUGAAAACAUGUGGUCAAAGGUGGAAGGCUUUUCAGAUAAAAUCAAAGAGUGGUGGUAGACUUAUAAGCGUUGAAAAAUGGCUUAAAUAAGUGGAAUAAAGAGGUGGUUGAUAAUGUCUCAGCCAAGAAGGAUUUUGCUUUGGAGGUGAUAAACCAUUGGGAUAGUGUAGAAAGGCUAAGAACCCUGUUCGAGGAGGAUAGGAGAAGCUAGCAAAUUGCCAAAGAUAAGUACAGUUACCUAGCUAUUUUAGAAGAAACCUCUUGGAGGCAAAAGUCAAGGGCUUUUUGGUUGAAGGAAGGACAUAAUUACACCAAUUUUUUUCACCGCAUGGCUAAUGCAAGGAGAAAUAGAAAUUUCACCAGUAGUCUCACUAUUAGUUGUGGUCAAGUAGAAAAAGAGGAGGAGCUUAAUAAGGUAGUAUUUUUUCCAUUUUAAAGUAGUGAUUGAAGAACUCCAAGCGAGAAGACGUGAUUUGGCAACAAAACUAUUCAAGAGCAUUGAAUCUUUAGAGGAGGUGAUCAUAACACUUUCAAAAUUGGGGGUGACAAGGUGCUAGGGCUAGAUGGAUUUUCAAUGACAUUUUGGAAGUUUUUUUAGCCUAUAGUAGGCAGGGAAGUGAUGCAGUUAUUUGAGGAGUUCCAUUUGAAGAAUUCCAUGGCUCAUAGCUUUAAUGCAAUGUUUUUAGUUCUUAUUCCUAAGAAAGGAAGGGCUGCUGACGUGAAGGAUUUUAGGCUAGCCUGUAGGAGAGUCUUUAUAAGCUUCUAGCAAAAGUCUUAACUAAUAGGUUGAAAAUGGUGGUUGGCAAGGUGGUGUCAAACGGUCAAAAUGCUUUUAUGGGGGUAGAUAGAUUCUGGAUGCUGCCUUGAUUGCAAACGAGACUAUUGACUCAAGGAAGCGUAGUUCCAAUGCAAGCUUAGUUUGCGAACUUGAUAUAGAAAAGGCUUACGAUCAUGUAAGCUAGAAGUUCCUUCUCUAGUCUUAGAAAAGAUGGGAUUUGGCCUCAAAUGGAGAUAGUGGAUUCUCUUUUGUAUUUCUUCUAUGAGAUCAACAAUUCUUGUUAAUGGCACCCCCACAAAUUUUUUCCUGACCUCUAGAGGUUUGAGGCAGGGGACCCUCUCUCACCCAAUCUUUUUGUAUUGGUCAUGGAAGUCCUCAAUGACUUAAUUGCAAAGGCUAAGCAGGGAGGUUUCAUUAAGGGCUUUAAGAUAGAGGGUAGAGGGAAAGAAGAAACACAAUCAUCACACCUAUUGUUUGCAGAUAAUACCUUUUUUUUUUUGUGAGGAUAAUGUAGAUUAGUUGAAAUAUUGGAAGUGAAUUGUCAUUUACUUUCAAUUAGUGUUAGGAAUGAAAAUAAAUAUGCAAAAAAGUGAAAUUAUUCUAGUGGGGAUGACAAAGGAUGUAGAUAGAGCAACUUUUGUCUUUGGGUGCAAAUUAGGAAAACUUACUAUUGACUCCUUGGGCCCCCUCACAAACUUUGUGGUGUUUGGGAUACAAUUGAGGAGAGAUUUAAAAGGAAAUUGACUGUUUGGAAAAAAAGAUACCUAUCCAAAGGAGGAAGACUAGUCCUUAUGAAGAGUACUCUAUCAAAUCUUCCUAUCUAUUUUAUGUCCCUCCUUACAGUCCCUAGAAAAGUGAGGAUUGGAUUAGAAAGAAUUCAAAGAGACCUUUUAUGAGGAGAUUUGAGAGAAAGGAGAAAGAUGUAUUUUGAUAAAUUGGCCAGAUGUGUGUAAGGAUAAAAAAAUGGAGGGUUGGGGUUAAGAAGAUUGGAGGGUCUUAAUCAAGCCUUGCUAGGCAAAUGGUUAUGAAGGUUUUCUAUUGAUCAUAAGAGCUUGUGGAGGAAGAUCAUUUGUGGAAAAUUUAGGAAGAUGGAGGGGGGAUGGACUACUAGAGGGGUGAGGAAUUCCUUUGAGAUGCGCUUUUGGAAGGAUUUUAGAAAAGGGUGGGAAGAAUUUAGUGUUAGAACUUCUAUCUAAAUAGGGAACGAUCAACGUACAAGAUUUUGGUGAGACAAGUAGGUGGAGAAGGUUAAGUUGAAAGAUGCAUACCCUACUCUUUUCAGGACAGCUUCCCACAAAAAUGCUACAGUUGUAGACUUAUGGGAAGAGAAAUGGGUAGAUGCAGGUGUUGGGAGGAUCAAUGUAGAAGACCGUUCCAAGAUUGGGAGAUGGAGGAGGUUACCCAUUUUUUUGGAGCUUUUUCACCCAUUAAAAGUGCAAGGAAGGAACACUUUAAUUUGGAAAGAUGAUAAGUGGGGAAAUUUUAGUGUCAAGUUGUAUUACAUUUCCCUAAGGCCAGAGAAUAAUUUAGUUUUUCCAGGCAAGAAGAUCUAGGGAUCUUGUGCUCCUCUUAAAACUUGCUUUUUUUUAGGAAGCUGUUUGGGGGAAGAUCUUAAUUGGGGAUAUUUUAAUGAAGAAGGGAUGACAAAUGGUCAACAGAUGUAGGCUUUGUAAAGAUAGUGAAGAAUCAACCGAUCACAUACUCAUUCAUUGUGACAAGACGAGAAAGCUAUGGACCUUUUUCUUAGCAGUCUUUGGUUUGGUUUGUGUGUUUCUGACCUCGAUGAGAAAUCUCCUCCUAUAGUGGAAAGGUAAGGGGCUACAUAAGAAGAAAAAAAAUUGUUUGACACUUGGCCCCAAUUUGCUUAUUUUGGUGUAUUUGGAAAGAGCACAACUGAAGGACUUUUGAAGAUGAAGAGCUUCCAGAUUAGUGAUUAAAGGAUUUCUUCAUUUGGUUGCUCUUAGAGUGGUCUCGAGAUUCUUUAGAGUUGGAGAACCCCUUUAUUUUGAUUUCCUAGAUGCUUUUUAUUGUCAUUAACUUUGCCAUGUUUUUGUAGGUUUUCUUUGUUUGUUGCUUGCUUUAGGUUGCUUUUGUGUGCAUUGCUUGUAUAUGUAGGGCAUGCCUGUGCUUUUUUGGCUGCUUCUUAAUACAUGAUCUUGUUGUCUAUCCAAAAAAAAAAAAAAAAAAAAUGAUUGGAUGCUCACAAUUUUUUUUUUUUAAAUGCCUAUGGAAAUUUGCCAAUAUAUUGAUAAUUUGGUUGUGUUUAAGGUUCAACUAAGGAGUGGGAGUAAGUAAUUUUUUUUAGAAUUGAAGUUGAAUUGGUAAAGCAGAAGUUUAUGUUGCCUAAAGUUUUUAUUUCUCCCAAGAUUUUGAUAACAACAUGUUUGCUUGCUAAGUAAACUAUGGAAAGAAGGGAGGAUUUUGAAUUUGUUUAUGUUCGGUAUUCUAGUUGCAUUAGUUUGUUUCCCACUUUUUGCCUCUAAGAAUUGUAUCAUAAACAAGAAAAUUUUUGGAAUGGUAUUGAAACUUGAUUGAAUUUAGGUUCAACCUUCAACCAAGGAGUGUGAGAGGAUAAUUUAUUGUCAAAAUUGAAGUUGGGACAGGAAACUAAGAGUUUAUGUUGCUUAAAAUUAUUGUUGAUCCCAAAUUUUAAUAAUGCUAUGUUCGGUUGGUGAGAAAAAUGAUGAAAAAUAGAAGACGAUUUUAAUUGUUGUACCCUUUUGUAUUUUAGUUACUUCUAUUUCCCCCAUUUUUGUUACCUACCAAACUAUGAUUAAAUUUGCUUGUGCAUUGAUAGUUUUGAUUAAAUUUGAGGUUCAACUAAGGAGUGGGGUAUUUUGUUGUUUGAAUUGAAGUGGAAGUCAAGGACUAGAAGCUCAUGCUAUUUAAAAUUUUAUUUCCCCUAAAUUUUGAGAAUGGUAUGUUCUGUUAGAAAAUUUUUGAAGUGAGUGUCAAAUUUUGCCAAUGAAUUCUUAAUUUUGGUGGAAAUUGAGAUUCACUUGAGGAGUAUGAGAGGGUAAUAUUUUUCUAGGAUUGAAGCUAGAGUUAGAAAUUAGAAACUUAUGUUUCUUAAACUUUUACUUCAUGGCAUGUUUGGUUGCUCAAGAAAAAGGUGAAAAAGAAAAAGACUUUGAAUCUUGUAUUCUUUUGUGUUCAUGAUUCAAAGUUGUGGUAUUGCUUACUGACUUAGCAGGUUUUGAGGUGCAUUGGUCCUAAUACCUCGAAUCAAUAUUGGGUGAUAUACAUAAUAUGCUAAUUAAAUAGCUCAAAUAGUUCUAAAACAAUAUUAAAUUUUUUUAUAAAAAUAGUUAGAAUUAGAUGAACUUGAAAAAUUAAUAAAAUAAAACAUUUAUGAAAUUGACAUUAUCUAAAUAGUCAUAAAAGCAAGCGGAUUGGUUUACGACAAUGUUAAAAGUUAACAUUCUUAAAACAUUUUGAAUUUCUUAUUUUUACUCAUAUAUUGAGACAUGUUUAAUUGAACGAUGAGGAGAAUCUUUGACAAAAUUUAGAGAUUAUUUUUUUCCUUCCAUUUUCAUUAAAUCCAAGACAUGGUGUUUAUAACUUUGAGUCAUCCUGUGCAUUGGCCGAAUUAAGCGAUUCAUAUUUGGGUUGAAACUAAGUUAUUUGUAAACCACACGAUAGCAACUCGCAUAUUAAAGAAAGCCUAAUGAUCAUGUAGACUGGACUUUCCUUCUUUCGGUUAUGCAAAAAAUGAGUCUUGGGAGAAAUGAAUUGAGUGAAUCAAGUGGUGUAUUUCCAUAGAAAAUUUCUCUAUUUUGGUCAAUGGUACCCUAACAGGCUUUUUUCAAAGCUCAAGGGGUUUGAGGUAGGGGGAUACUCUCUCACUCUAUUUAUUUGUGAUUGCAAUGGAGGUGUUCAAUUGCCUUUUAAAGAGGGCAGUGGAUGGAGGUUUAGAUUGGAAAAAGGGUUUAGAUUUCUCAUUUGUUGUUUGUUGAUGACACCUUGGUAUUCUACCAAGUCUCUUAAGAUUAGAUGACCUAUCUUUGUUGGUUGCUUAUGUGGUUUGAGGCCAUUUUGGAAUUGAGAACAAAUUUAGAUAAAAACGAAUUAAUUCCUAUGGGAAGGGUGGAAAAUAUUGAUGACCUUGUUUAUGAGUUUGGAUGCAAGGUGGUUAGUCUCCCGUCCACUUACUUGGGCCUCUCUUUGGGUGCACUGUUUAAAUUAGUGGCAACUUGGGAUUGUGUGGAAGAGAGGUUUCGUAGAAGGUUGGCUAUGUGUAAGAGACAAUACAUUUUUUUUUGGCUAAUUCCUACUUUCUUUUUUAACCCUCCUUUCCCAAAUGAAAGUGCUCAUUUCCUUUUUCAGAUCGAGUGGAUAAGUGGUACAAAGCACUUGUGUGCAUUGCGGUUUUGGUGGUAACUUGACCAUGGUAUUGGUGUUUUACCUGUGGUUAGGCUGGUGUAGUGUGAUGUGUUGUUGUGGAAGUGAUGGAAUGAGGUGUUGGUAUUAUAUUGUCAGUGGUGUGUAAGGCUAGUUGCAUCGAUUGUGUUUUCUUGAAAUUUUUUGUCAAGAAGCUUUAUAAAAUUAGUAUAUUUUAGUGUGUGUGUGUGUUUAUUUUUUAUUUUUAUAGCUAGGGUUACCUUUAUGCCCAUGAAUAAUUUGUUUUGAAAUAAAAGGGUAUGUCUUGUAGUAAGAGUGGCACUGAAAAUUAAACUUUGAGUCUGCUUCAAAUAAUCUUUGCUUUGUGGAAUAGCAAUAGGUGGUUGAUGGAAGUUUUGAUAUAACUUCAUUGAUUAGGUGUGGUAUGGUGAUUAAGAAACAAGUAAUGGUUAUUAGAGAAGAUUAAUCGCUUGAGAAGGUGUUGAACUAACUUUUCCUUCUCAUUGUACAUAAUGCUAUAGAUGAAAAGGAAGACUCUAAUUAGUAAUUGUAUCAUGAUCAACGCAAGACUCAAGAUUCCUUGGCUAGGCAUAUCUUGUGGCAGGUGAGUUCUCUAAGACAUCAACUUAUGAUCCAUUUUAGUAUGAAAGUAUUCGUGUUAGACAACUUGAGCAAAAGGAGGAGUGUCUUGGGAGGAGGUUUUGUUUGAGAGUUUUAAAAGAUCACUUCAAAGUGUCUCAAUUAAUGGUAUAUAUCAAGAUCUUAAUUAGGAUAUGUAUUGCAAUUAACCUUGAAGAUCUCUGUCUUAGUGAUCAUUGUUAAUCUGCAUUGAUAAAGUGUGUUGGAUUUUCAAAUCUAAAUUCCAUCAUACACUCUUGACCAUAAGAAGACAAUAAUUAAAUGGAAUACCUAGUCGUGAGGUGAAAACCAUGAGUUGCCUUGGCUACUUAAAAAUCCACUGUUGAAAGAUCAAAUUAUAAAGAACGAUCUUAUUCAAACUGAGUCAAUAAAGAUCCUUAUCUAACCUACUUGUCUCAUGCUUUUCACAAUCAAUCUUUAAUUUUUCAUCAACCCAAAGUUACAUCUACUCACUUGAAAUUGCACAAGGUAGGCUUCACACCAAUUAUUGAGGUCUCUCUAACUUGGAUAUCCAAAAUCACUCUGGAUUCGAUCUCCAAACUAACUUUGGAUUUGACACCAAAAGGAAUAGAAGGAUCGUAGACAAGAUCCAUAUUGGAUCUAAGUCAAUGAUGAAAUUCUCUCAAUUUCACAUAAGAUCUAGGUUGCUUAAUUCAAACCAUAGAAAAUGCUUUCAAAGUGGUCUCGCUCCAAGCUUAUUGAGAGUUGUUACGAAUGAGAUGAACCCUUAUAGGUGUUUAGAGGUUCAUGACAAGCUUCACAACUACUUUUUAGUUGGAAAUUUUUAAAAACAUGUGAGCACUCAAAAUGAGUUUUCUGCUCUUUCUUGCACACAUAUGCAAGCUUCUUGUUAGAAUGUGCAAGCAAGACAAUGAGAAUCACUCUCUGGUGCAUUAAUUUGCUUAGGUGUGUAAGUGGAGACUUAAGAAAUAUAUUCUUUUUUAAAUCAAUGUUCACAUUUAAAAUCCUCUUGUGCAUGUGUGCAAGAGACAUAUUGAGAGCUUGCACAUGAGCACAAGAAAAGAAGGAAACCAUGUCUUCUUUGACCAGCCUUGUGCAUGCACAAGCACCCUUGCACAUAUGCUCAAGUACCCUCAUGCAUGUGCACAAGGUGCAUUAGAGAAGACUUGAUCUUUCAGCAGAGUUGUGCAUAUGUGCAAGCAUUGCUGUGCACGUGCCCACUUCCCUGCACACUGCUAGUUGAGCCUCUAUAUGGUUCAUAAUAUAUGAUAGCAAUUCAGUCUUGUAUGAUUCUGAAACAAUUUCACCUUACCAACAUUAACUUGGCCAUCAAAUUAAUGUUAUCUUUGGCCAAGCAUCACCAACGUUGAACUGAAGUUGUCAUUGAUUUAUCUUAUGAACUUAAGUUGAUAUCCAACCUAAACUAGAACUUAAAUUGUGAUGAAAUUACCAAUAUAACACCACAUUUAUAGGUUUGUUUAGAGUUCUCCAUAUAUGGUUUGUUUAUAUAUUUGUUUACUUUAUUUUACUUUGUUGGAUAUCGUCGCCUUUAAUGAAUUUAAUAUGCUUCAUAAGGAGAUUUUUAUAUGUAAGAAUUUAUUGUCUGGAAAUAGAAUAUUGUAAUCCCAUCAAGAAACUUGAGGAUAUAAGGGGAUUGUUCUGUGUCAUUAUUGUUUAUAUUAAUUUUUAUCUAAGUUAGCACAGUUCUAAUGGAACUUCCAGAUUAUCCCUUUGCAUAAACAAUUUUAUUUAUUAGGUUUGCCUGUCACUUCCCUUGAAUUAAAACUUCAAAUCAAUAAAAUGAUUUAUGUACUCAUUACAUUUCAGGCAGGAAUGAUAAUGUUGGGGCAGAUAAUGAAAGAUAUGAUGUUAUUGUGGUUGGAGGAGGCCAUGCAGGCUGUGAAGCUGCCCUUGCAUCUGCUCGUUUAGGGGCAAAAACUCUUCUUCUUACUCUAAAUAUUGAUAGAAUUGCAUGGCAGGUAUGUAUUUUAAUAUUUAGUGGCUCUAUCUUCAUCAUAUACUCUUUAACUUUUCUUUUCAACAUUAGAAAACUCUACUGACGUGAAGUGAAGUUUUCACAUUAUAGAUAAAAGGUUUUAUCCAAUUGAUUUAUGUGUUCAACUGUAGCUAAGAUUUACCCAUGUGUGUUUUGGCUGUGAAAGCUUGUUUUGGCAGACACAGGAUUUAAAGUUUGGGUGGGCAAUUGGCAAAUGCAUGUGAUUUUUAUUACACUUAUUUUGUUCACUAUGAUUAUACAUCUGAACUCUAAUACAUGUGAUUUUCACUUUUGUAUGUACAGUGUACUGGUGGUCUUAGUAAUUGAAGAGAGAAGAUAGGAAAAAAAAUAAGGGGGGGGGGGGGGGGUCGGUCUGUGGAGGACAUUAUUAUUUUUUUAAUAUUACCUAUAAUUUUUUUUUUUUUUCCAAGUUGUGGGGAUGAGUGUUUAUUUAUUUAUCCAGGGGAUUUAGUUCACUCUAUUCGCACAUGGUCUUCAUUUGCUUUACUUGUGAACCAGGGUGCUCGUUGCCAACUCAUGCUGGUGUUGAGUGUUGUGGCAACAAAAGGAACACCUUAUCUUUGUUUUGAGAUAGAGCUUUUUUAUGCUGAUUAUGUCCUUCGCAUUCCCAUUUUCUUGCCUUUUUUCACUGUGAUAGAUAGCUAAUUUUGUUUUAUUAUUAUCAUUAAAAGGUGAAACCACUUUCAGGUUCAACUGAACCUGAUUUAUCCACAUGAUGUUACAUUUUCUUUAUGGUAACUGCAAAUCUAUCUUGUAAAUCCAUGUUCAAGAGAGAUAUCUUUGUUCCAUAAGAAAUGUCAAGCCUAUGAAAAUAUUUUCUUACCAAGAGAAGUAUGGUGCAGCCUUGUAAUCCUGCUGUAGGUGGACCUGCAAAGUCACAAUUGGUACAUGAAGUGGAUGCACUCGGUGGUGAAAUUGGAAAAGUUGCUGAUAGGUAAUGCCUAAAAGCUGUCUAAUUUUGUCUGACAGCAAUUGUUACUUGCUUUGAUGUUUGUAAAUUGAUUUUGGUUUAUACACUUUACUAUUUUAUGGCUGAUCUUUCACAUGCAAAAUUUUUUUAACUGUUGCUUGCAUCCAAAAAAUUUGAACUUGUAGUAGAUAAGUUUGCAAUUUUUUGAUUAAUAUAUGCUUGUAAAAGCACCCAGCUAUAACACAAACCUGAACACUGGUGGUGCAGAUGUUUAUGUGUGAUGGUAGGUAGGGGUCUUAAUAUAUGGAAGAAUAAACUCAUAAAUUUUAAACCUUAAGAAUAUUCUUGUGCAAAUGAUGCAUACCUCAUGGAGAGGAAGACAAAAACAUAAUCUGUGGUGAAGGAAAGAGAAAAAGGGGGUAUACUGUUGUUGCAUUUUCAAGUAUAGGAACAUGUGUUAUAAUAAAUGAAAAUGACUCAAAUAGGACACUGUUUGUCUGAGACAAGGGUUCCAGUUUCUAGCAAUUGGCCCUCUUGCCUUAAUUGACUCAAGAGUCUUAAAUUGAGAAUUGUAUUCUGGUUAUGUUACUUCCAUUCAAAAGCUUAGACUGUGAACUUACUGAGGCUUUUCACUACAAAAUUUGGUUUUCUGUGCAUCAUUUGUGGCAUUUGCCAAAGCCAUGUGAUUACAAAUUUCAAGCAACAACUUUCCUUUUUUAUAAUAUGAUUUUGAUUGAGAGAUAUGUGCAACUGAAAAUCAUUUUCUUCUUUAUGCUCCAGGUGUUAUUUACAAAAACGUGUUCUAAACAUAUCAAGAGGUCCUGCUGUUCGGGCAUUGCGUGCACAGACUGAUAAGAGGGACUAUGCUUUGCAAAUGAAAAACAUUGUGGAGAGGCAAGCUUAGUUUUCUUCUUUGUUGGCAAAAAUAGUAGUAAGAGUAUCAAUUUCCAAUUGGCUCAACUAGAGGCAGUGGAGAGCCAAGUUUAUUUGCUUAAUAGUUCUAUCAAUUGUUCUAGUCUCCAUUUUAUUGCUUGAAUGGGGGAAGUAUUGUGCAUGUCUUAAGCCUUCUAUGUUUUAGUAUUGUGGGAUUUCUAGUAUUAAGUCCUUUUUGUGGUUUGCUUUCAUUUCUAAGGCCUCCACUUUAUCAUGGGGUUUCUUCAAAACAUUCCUUGAGAUUGCCCCUAAGGUCCCCUUUGGGACCUCUGCAGACUUUUGUUAUCCCUUCUAUUCUCUUUGCUCUUAGACCUUGAUGACUCACCAUCCCCUGUGGUUAGCCGCCUCUACAAUUUUAAACCUACCAUCAACACCCUUCAAUAUCAUUUUGCUAGACUGACUAUUGAUUUGGUGUCCUUGUAAUAGGGUGGGGGUUUUAGAUAUCAGAGCCUAAUGGGUUUGACCACCAAAUGGAAGCAGAUGAUUAGGAUUUUUUUAAGCUAGAUGGUUUUGAGUUGACUGUUGAGGUUGAACUUCUAGAAUUACAGGAAGAUGUAAAAAAGGCUAAAUCCACCGUCUCAGGCCUUAAGUUGAGGGGGAUUCAUUGUAAACAUUUUCUUGGGUAACUUAGUAUAGGAAAUGGGGCAUAGACAUACUACCAUUCUAGAGACGAGCAUUACUUAAUUAAUCGAAAUUAGAUCGGCAAAUAAAAAAGCUAAUACCUUAGCCAAGAGAGUAGUUGUCUCCUCCACUAUCUUUAUAGGGGAUCCCUUGAGACCAUCAUGCCUUGGUCUUGUCUCCACCUCUACCUUUGUCUUGGGUAUAAAUUUUUAAAGUUGCUAUCUUUGCUAGAAGUUGUGUUAGGUGAUCUUUAUCCUUCUUUUUGUAUUUCUUUAUGAAGAACCUUUCUUCCUUCAUAGUACAUUCUUGUUUCUGUGUAUAAUACUGAUUGGGUUUUUGAUAAGAAAAAAGGAAUACGUUGGCAAUUUUUGUUACCAUAAUGCUAUAUUUAAAAAUGCAUGGAUGAAACAAAAUUAUGGAUCCCUUUUUUAAUCCUUUUCAUUUUGAUCGGGCUCUGAAGGGGGAGUUUUACGAUUGUUCUGGGGAUAUAGAUGAGGAAAUUCGGGUUGAUAAAACAAUGUGGUUAGCAGUGUAUGAGGGAUACAAUGAGAAGGUCAGUGGCUGUAGGGACUUGGGAGUAAUCAAGAGAAGCAGUGAUAAAGUCAGGGGGACGGAAGGGGCCUUUGGCACACCUGACAUACAAGCUGUGAGAAAUGAGCCUGAGGAAAAAUGGGAGGAGAGUAGUUUGGCAAAAUUCAGUCAUUUCUUGGGAUUCUCGACGGAGGGAUUGGAAAAAGGAAAUUAUGAAUUUUUUUAUUAAAAUCAGAAAGAGACGGGAGAAGAUACAUAGUAAAGAGCUUCUGGAAAAGUCAAAGUUCGAAAGGGAGUUAAAGAGAUUGGAAUGUUCUGUAAACUAUGAGGGGGGGAAUAAGCAGAAAGGAUCGGUACAGGGCAAAGGGAGUCAAAUUGUAGUUGCCCAAUGAAGCUAAAAGUCCUGAGCUGGAACGUGAGGGGAGCAAACAAUAGCUCCAAAAGAAAAAUUAUUAAGGCUUUUAUAAGGAACCAGAGGGUGGAUUUACUCUGUAUUCAGGAGGCAAAAAUUCAAUCUAUGUCGGAGGGUAUUGUGAGAAGUUUAGGCUCUGUGAGAUUCUUAGAUUGGAAAGCUAUGAAUGCGGAGGGGGCUUCGGGAGGAAUUCUAAUUUGUUGGGACAAGAGGUCUUUGGACAUUCUGGAUUGGAAGGAGGGAUAUUUUACUUUAUCUUGCAGAUUCAGGAAUGUAGAAAAUGGGGCUGUUUAAAAUGGGGCUAUUUGGGUGUUCACGGGAGUUUAUGGCCCUUUCUCCAAAGUGGAAAGGGAUGAAUUAUGGGAAGAGUUUGGGGCGAUUAGAGGCCUUUGGGAAGACCCCUGGUGCCUGGGGGGGGAGGGGGGGGAUUUUAACAUCACCCUGUUCCAAAUAAGCUCAGCGAUGAGGAGAUUUGCUGAGAUUGUGGAUGAUCUAGGGCUGGUGGAUCUUCCUUUACAGGGGGGAGAAUUCACCUGGAAUGGGUGCCACAAUAACCAAGUUUGGGCAAGAUUGGACAGAUUUCUUGUGUCCCCUAGCUGGUUAGACCAAUUUUGUGGGAUUACCCAAAGUAGGCUGCCACGGCUGAUUUCCGAUCACUUCCCAAUCAUGCUAGUGGGGGGUGGGAUAAGACGAGACCCGACUCCAUUUAGAUUCGAAAAUAUGUGGCUUAAGGUUGAGGGAUUGAAAGACCUUAUGCAUAGCUGGUGGCAGGGAAUUGAAGUCAGGGGCAGUGCUAGCUUUAAAUUGGUUGCUAAGAUGAAGGAAAUCAAGCAGAAGCUGAAAGUUUGGAAUAGAGAAGUUUUUGGGAGGCUGGACUGCAACAAAUCUUCAGCUCUGCAGCAAGUGGAUUUUUGGGACCGGAUGGAAAGCGAGAGAAGCCUAACUGUGGAGGAAACAGAGUUAAAAAAAGAAGCAAAAGAAAAUUACAAAAAGUGGAUGCUUCUGGAGGAAACUCACUGGAGAUAGCUUUCAAGGGAAAUCUGGCUGAGGGAGGGGGAUAGAAACACGGGUUUCUUCCAUCGUAUGGCAAACGCUCAUUGUAGAAACAAUUCUUUGGACAGAAUUAAGAUCAAUGGGGAAUGGCUAUCAGAGGAGCAGGAGGUUAGGGAAGGAAUUGUUAAUGCUUUUCAUUAGCUGCUAUCGGAAGAUACGGGGUGGAAGGCGGACAUUGGGAGGCUUCAGUUUGAUCAAAUCAGUUAGCAAGAAGCAGAGAAUCUGGAGAGGCUUUUUACAGAGGAUGAAAUUCAUGCGGCUUUAAUGGAGAUGAAUGGGGAUAAAGCCCCUGGUCCGAAUGGCUUUACUAUGGCUUUUUGGCAAAGUUGUUGGGACUUUGUUAAAGAGGAGAUCCUAGAAAUGUUCAAGGAAUUCCACGAGCAUAGCUCUUUCUUCAAGAGCCUCAACAAUACUUUUCUGGUUUUGAUUCCCAAGAAAAGUGGGGCUGAGGACCUUGGAGAUUUUAGACCUAUUAGUCUUCUGGGGGGACUUUAUAAGUUAUUGGCUAAAGUGCUAGCUAACAGACUUAAGAAAGUGGUUGGAAAGGUGGUCUCCACUUCUCAGAAUGCCUUUGUGAGGGGAAGACAAAUUCUUGACGCUUCUUUAAUUGCAAAUGAAGUGAUAGACUUGUGGCAGAAACGAAAAGAAAAGGGCCUUAUUUGCAAAUUGGACAUAGAAAAAGCUUAUGACAACAUCAAUUGGAAGUUUUUGUUGAAGGUUUUGCAAAAGAUGGGCUUUGGGUCUAAGUGGCUGGGGUGGAUGUGGAGUUGCUUGUCCUCAGCCAAAUUCUCAGUUUUGGUUAAUGGAGUGCCAACUGGCUUCUUCCCUAGCACUAAGGGCCUUAGACAAGGAGAUCUCCUAUCUCUUUAUCUCUUUGUUAUGGGAAUGGAAGUGCUGGAUGAUCUUAUUAGGAGAGCUGUGGAGGGGGGGUUUUUAUCAGGGUGUAAUAUUAGGGGUGGCAGUAGAUCCUCUUUGAACAUCUCCCAUUUAUUUUUUGCUGAUGACACAAUUGUGUUUUGUGAGGCUGGUAAGGAGCAUCUAACUCACUUAAGUUGGAUUUUACUCUGGUUUGAAGCGGCUUCAGGUUUAAGGAUUAACUUAGCCAAAAGUGAAAUUAUUCCAGUUGGAGAGGUGGAGGAGAUUGAAGAGUUGGCUGUUGAGUUAGGCUGUAGGGUGGGGUCCUUACCCUCUCAGUAUUUGGGACUUCCUCCAGGGGCUCCUAGUAGAGCUCUUUAUAUGUGGGAUGGGGUGGAAGAGAGAGUAAGGAGGAGACUUGUGCUUUGGAAACGACAAUAUAUCUCCAAAGGGGGAAGAAUCACUUUAAUAAAAAGUACUUUGGCUAGCAUGCCAAUCUAUCAAAUGUCUAUUUUCAGAAUGCCCAAAAUUGUUGCUAGAAGGCUAGAGAAAGUGUAAAGGGACUUCCUGUGGGGAGGGGGAAAUCUGGAGGGGAAAAUUCAUCUAGUUAACUGGGAGGUAGUUUGUACAGACAAGGAAAAGGGUGGGCUAGGCCUUAGGAAGCUAGCCAUGUUGAACAAAGCCUUGCUUGGCAAGUGGAUAUGGAGGUAUGCUUGUGACAAAGAUAAUCUUUGGAAACAAGUGAUUAAGGUGAAGUAUGGGCAAGAGGGUCUUGGAUGGAGGCCAAAGAAGGCUAAUGGGGCGGUUGGAGUAGGGGUUUGGAAGGAGAUUCGGAAAGAAUCAGAUUGGUGCUGGGAUAACAUGAUAUUCCGAGCUAGGAAGGGCACCAAGAUCAGAUUUUGGACAGAUGUUUGGUGUACUGAUACAACGUUGUCCCAUUGUUUUCCUCAUCUCUUCGUCAUGGCUGUCCAAAGGAGUUCAAUGAUUGAGGAAAUAUGGGACCAAAAUUCUGGUCAAGAAGGUUGGAACCUAAAUUUUUUGAGGGACUUCAAUGAUUGGGAGCUAGAUAUGGUUGGGGAUUUACUCCAUAUGCUGAGGGGUCAUAGGCCUUCUUUGGAGGAAGACUCAGUUUUUUGGAGGCAAGGAAGAAAUGGUCAGUUUAGGGUCAAGGAAGCUUAUAGCUUGUUGACCAAUCCUAAUGAUACAGGCUUUCCUUCAAGAAGUAUUUGGGUGGUUAGGGUGCCAACUAAAGUCACCUUCUUUGCUUGGGAGGCGACGUGAGGGAAGGUGCUUACUCUAGAUAGACUACAAUGAAGAGGGGUGCAACUUGCGAAUUGUUGUUUUUUAAGUGGGUGUGAAGAAGAAAAUGUAAAUCAUAUCCUUAUACAUUGUAUAGUGGUUAGAGCUUUGUGGGAUAUUGUCCUUGGGUUAGUAGAUGUUAAAUGGGCCUUUCCAGAAACUGUAAAGGAGGUCUUAAUUAGCUGGAGGGGCUCAUUUGUGGGGAAGAAAAGGAAAAAGGUUUGGGACUCCAUUCCGUUGUGUAUUUUUUGGACGGUAUGGAAGGAGAGGGAAUAGAUUAGCCUUUAGGGGGGGGGUGUUGAAUAUUUCCGAAAUUAAAGAAGUUUUUUNNNNNNNNNNNNNNNNNNNNNNNNNNNNNNNNNNNNNNNNNNNNNNNNNNNNNNNNNNNNNNNNNNNNNNNNNNNNNNNNNNNNNNNNNNNNNNNNNNNNNNNNNNNNNNNNNNNNNNNNNNNNNNNNNNNNNNNNNNNNNNNNNNNNNNNNNNNNNNNNNNNNNNNNNNNNNNNNNNNNNNNNNNNNNNNNNNNNNNNNNNNNNNNNNNNNNNNNNNNNNNNNNNNNNNNNNNNNNNNNNNNNNNNNNNNNNNNNNNNNNNNNNNNNNNNNNNNNNNNNNNNNNNNNNNNNNNNNNNNNNNNNNNNNNNNNNNNNNNNNNNNNNNNNNNNNNNNNNNNNNNNNNNNNNNNNNNNNNNNNNNNNNNNNNNNNNNNNNNNNNNNNNNNNNNNNNNNNNNNNNNNNNNNNNNNNNNNNNNNNNNNNNNNNNNNNNNNNNNNNNNNNNNNNNNNNUUUAGGGGGGGGGUGUUGAAUAUUCAGAAGUUAAAGAAUUUUUUUGUCUGUAAUUUGUGGAGUUGGGCCAAAUUGUAUUUAGGUGAGGAGACUUUCUCCCUUAUAGGCUUCAUGGAGUGGGUAGCAUCCACUUGAGGGGAGGUGAUUCUUUUUGUCUUUGUUUUUUGAGGCCCUAGCCGCCUUGUAUACCCCCUAUAUGCUUUGUGGCUUUUUGGCUCUUUAUUAAUGCAAUUCCUUUUACUUAUAAAAAAAAAAGAGGCGUGAGUGGCGGAUUUAUAGACUCAAUUAGGUGAGAAGGGUGUUUGGACCCCUAGUUUUUCUAGGUGUGUAAAUGAUUGGGAGAUUGAGGGUUUGGAGUGAUUCUUGUCAAGGCUAUAAGAUAAAGUGGUUAUUGGAGACAAGGAAGAUAAUGUGAUUCUAUUAAGUCUCUUUACACUAUUCUAGAGUCUGGGAGAUCAUUGUCUUUUCCAGUAGAGGUUGUUUGGAAUGGGUGGGUCCCUCUUAAGGCGUGUUUUUUUGCUUGGGAAGCAUCUUCAGGAAAAGCACAGACUCUAGAUCAGCUUCAGAGGAGAGGAUGGAUUUUGGCUAAUAGAUGUUUUCUUGGUCAUAUUGAAGAGGAAUCAAUUGACCACAUUUUGCUACAUUAUGACAAGGCGAGGAUGUCGUGGGAGGUUUUGUUGUCCCUUUUAGGUGUUUCUUGGGUGUUACCCUCUUUUGUAAAAGAGACUCUGCUAGGGUGGCACGACUCCUUUAUUGGAAGGAAAUGGAAAAAUGUGUGGGAAGCAACCCCUUUGUGCCUUUUUUAGACAUUGUGGAAGGAGAGAAAUAGAAGAUCUUUUGAUAAUGAGGAGCUUUAGGGCCAAGGACUAAGAACCGGUUUUCUUUGUAACUUGAUGUAUUGGACCAAGUUGUAUAUAGGUGAAGGACCAUUGUCCUUAUUCGACUUCAUUGAUUGGUUGGGUUCUUGUUGAGGGAAUGAGUUUUUUUUUGUUCCCCUUGUCAUUUUUUGAUGCCUUUUGGUGACCAUUGUAUAUGUCCUGUGUACUUUAGUGUGCCUCUUUGGCACUUUAUUAUUAUUAUUUGCAUUUAUCUAUAAAUGAUAUUUAGUCCAUUAUUUAUAUGUGGAAUCUGUUACCAUUUUCCUUGUAUGUUGGCUAAAGAUGCAUGGCAUUCACCCCCAAAUUCCCAAGUCGUCUCUCCCUCUCUCACUCACUAUUUUUCCAGGAUCUGUCCUAUUUCAUAUUACAUACUCAUGUUUCUCUCUGUUUUUCCAUGAUCUGUCUUAUUUCAUAUUACAUUGAGCACAUGCUGCAAAAUACCAUCUGGUGGGAAGUUUCUUGUUCAACUUUUAAUGUGCAUUUAUUUGAACAGAAUUUAACUCUCAGUUAGCAUUUAUUUCAACAGAACAUUAAAGUUCUUUUAAAUAAAAAAUGGACAUACAAGAGAAGGAUGAUGAAUCCUUCUAAAUCAAUAAUUGUCUAUGGAGUAAAAUAUGUAAUAGGAGUUUGUCUGUCAACAGAACACCUCCUUGUCAAGGAAAUUUAUUCUCUACUUUGUCAUGAGCUGUCACAUUUUUCUUUAACCAUACAGAGAAAAUGCCUAUAUAUGACUAUUGGAUAUUGGCUGCAUAUAACCUUCUAAUUAGUGUGAUUUACUUCUAUUUCAGCUGUCCAAACCUUUCUAUUAGAGAGGCGAUGGUGACUGAUAUCCUACUAGGAAAGAAUGACAAUGUAGAAGGUGUUCGAACAUUCUUUGGGAUGGACUUCUAUGCUCCUUCUGUUAUUCUAACAACUGGCACUUUUAUGAGCGGUAAAAUUUGGGUUGGUAGAACUUCUAUGCCUGCAGGGAGAGCUGGUGAGUCAGCUUCACAUGGACUCACUGAAAACUUGCAGCGCCUUGGAUUUGAAACUGACCGGUUAAAAACUGGAACCCCUGCACGUGUGGACUGUCGUACUGUAGAUUUCUCUGGAUUGGAACCCCAGCAUGGAGAUGAAGAGGUCCUUCCAUUUAAUUUCAUAUGUAGGUUAACUAGAUUUUUUCCCCUGCAUAACUGGAGUUUUCAAAUAAUGUUUUGCAAUUGACUCAAUCCAAACAUAUUGCAAGCCAGGAAAUUUUCAAUUAGAGGGGCUAAACUAAUAGUAUGAAGAUAAUGUAAUGAUAUUUAUAAUCACACUAUAUGUUCAACCCGAAAGGGAGAGUCUGACAUAAAAGAUCACUAGUACUUCAUAAUUCAUUAUUCAAUGCUUAACCUGGUUAAGUGUGUGAAGUAUUAGGUAAAACAAUUAUUUUUUAUUUAUUUUGAUUUUCUAAUACCAAUUUGAUUCCUAGUUAAUUUUUAUUAUUUAUUUAUUUUUAAAUCUAGUAGUAUGAACAGAUGAAAAUUAUAAGCUAUGCUAACAAAUGCAAGGAUAUAAUAGUUUUAAUACCAUUUUUUUUGUACAGACUUAUUUUAGUGGCAAUAAUAUUAAAAAAUAGACUAUCUAAAUUUAGAAGUUAAAUACGUAAGGAAGUUAGAGAAAUUGAAGAUUGUGGAAAGUGGUAGAAAAGGUGAAAGAAGUAGGAAGUUUAGGUAUGAAAAUGACAUUCUUGUUAUUUUGUUUUUCUUUUAUUGUUUUGAAUUAGAUGAAAAGUGAAAUUGAGGUGUUUGUUUUCUUACAAUUUCUUAGUCUUCCUAUCUUUGUUUCUUUUUCUUAGAGUUACAAAAGAUUUUUUUUGAUGGGUAAAUAAGGAUUGUAUUAAUAAGAAAUGAGGUAUACAUGGCGUAUACAAAGUAAACAAAAGACCAAAAAAGAGGUGCGAAGACAAAAAAAACCAGUAAGUUGCAAAUGAUAUGCAGUUUUCCUUUCUUAAAGUAGUGAACUUGUAAGAGACAUUUACUUAUGGGGGACAUUGUUUUUAGAAUUAUGAGCUUGUAAGAGACCUUUUCUUUCCUAGCAUUGUAAACUUGUAGGAGACAACUUAUUUUCUGUUAUUCCCUUUUUAACCCUCCUAAUUUUUCCUGUUUAUCCUUAUUUGUUUUGUUUUUAUUUCCUCAUUUACCUAUUUAAAACCUUAUCUUAUAACAUUUGGGGGCCACGGGGAAAUAUUAAAAAAUUUUAGGCGGGAAUGGGGUGGACUGCCAAGUCGCUCCCCCUGUUCCAUACCUACUGCAAGGGCUUUGGUUGACAUUGCUUUUGCUUUUCGUCAGUAGAAGCUAUUACUUCUAGCUGGCUGGACAGGUUGGUAGUUUGAGUUUGUAUUGCAAUAAAUGCUAGAAAUUCUUUAUUUAUUGUCUAUUUGGCAAAAAGCUUUUUUAGUUCUCUUGCAACCCUGAAAAAUAAAGCUACAUUUAUGUAUAAAUAAAUAUGUUAUAAAAAAAAAUCAGGUUUUUACACAUAACAAACAUAUAUUUGCAAAAGGAAAAAGAGGACCAAAAGGAAACCCUAGACAAAAUUUAGCAAAAGAUAACUAAAGUUGUGAUUUGCAUAAAAUUUUGAUUACCUCAAAUGAUUAAGAUUGUGAUCAAUAAAAAAAAAAAAAAAAUCAACUCAAAAUGAACAAAGAGAAAAUGAGAGAAAAAAUGACAAGAAAGAAAAAAAUGUGUUUAGAUGAGAUAUAUGGAGUGACGUUACAAGUACCCUCAUUACAAGUUAUUAUUUUGAUAGGGAAAUAUCUAUUGUAUUAAUAGCGCUUAACAAAGAGUUCACUUAAAUAGACAUGGUGUAUUCAAGGGCACCAAAAGGUCAUACCUAAUGGUAGAAUAUACAAAAACAACUCCUAUCCACUACAUAGAGCUCACCCAAUCAAUAAAGUCCAACAUGGACAAAGAAUGGUCUAUAAUGUACACUUUAACCCAUUCCAAAAAAUUAUACAUAAAUG
rnacentral:lncRNA from 1 species